GACGAACGCUGGCGGCAUGCCUAAUACAUGCAAGUCGAGCGAACAAUUAUAGAAUCUUGCUUCUAUAAAUGUUAGCGGCGGAUGGGUGAGUAACACGUGGGCAACCUGCCCUGCAGAUGGGGAUAACUCCGGGAAACCAGGGCGAAUACCGGAUAAUCAGGUUGUCCGGAUGGCCAAACUCUAAAAGACGGCUUCGGAGGUCACUGCAGGAUGGGCCCACGGCGGAGUAGCUAGUUGGUGGGGUAACGGCCCACAAAGGGGACGAUCCGUAACUCGUCUGAGAGGAGGAUCAGUCACACUGGAACUGAGACACGGUCCAGACUCCUACGGGAGGCAGCAGUGGGGAAUAUUGGACAAUGGGCGAAAGCCUGAUCCAGCCAUGCCGCGUGUGUGAAGAAGGUCUUCGGAUUGUAAAGCACUUUAAGUUGGGAGGAAGGGCAGUAAGUUAAUACCUUGCUGUUUUGACGUUACCAACAGAAUAAGCACCGGCUAACUUCGUG
rnacentral:rRNA from 1 species